rnacentral:rRNA from 1 species
UACGGAGGGUGCAAGCGUUAUCCGGAUUUAUUGGGUUUAAAGGGUCCGCAGGCGGACCGUUAAGUCAGUGGUGAAAGCCCACAGCUCAACUGUGGAAUUGCCAUUGAUACUGGCGGUCUUGAGUAUGUAUGAAGUUGGCGGAAUGUGUGGUGUAGCGGUGAAAUGCUUAGAUAUCACACAGAACACCGAUUGCGAAGGCAGCUGACUAAUACAUGACUGACGCUCAGGGACGAAAGUGUGGGGAUCAAACAGG